rnacentral:tRNA from 1 species
GCGCCCGUAGCUCAAUUGGAUAGAGCGUCGCCCUCCGAAGGCGAAGGUUGGCAGUUCGACCCUGCCCGGGCGCG